CCUAUCGCCACGAAAAGGUAUUCCAGCUCACCACCUCACAGGAAUCGUCCUGGUCUAAGUGGAGCUUGCUCUGCACCUCAGCCCUGAGUUCACAGGAAAAGAUUGGAAUGUCCACAGUGCAAGGUGUUCGACAUUGGACGGACAAAGAGAUGCC